rnacentral:rRNA from 1 species
CCCUUAGAUGUUCUGGGCUGCACGCGCGCUACACUGAUGAACGCAACGAGACCACCUGUACCGAAAGGCAUGGGUAAACUUGUGAAAGUUCAUCGUGAUGGGGAUAGAUUAUUGCAAUUAUUAAUCUUCAACGAGGAAUUCCUAGUAAGCGCGAGUCAUCAGCUCGCGUUGAUUACGUCCCUGCCCUUUGUACACACCGCCCGUCGCUCCUACCGAUUGAAUGGUCCGGUGAAAUCUUCGGAUUGCUGGAUAGGACUUCAUUGACCUAUCUGCGAGAAGUUGCUUGAACCUUAUCAUUUAGAGGAAGGAGAAGUCGUAACA